CCUACGGGAGGCAGCAGUGGGGAAUUUUGGACAAUGGGCGCAAGCCUGAUCCAGCAAUGCCGCGUGCAGGAUGAAGGCCUUCGGGUUGUAAACUGCUUUUGUACGGAACGAAACGGUGAGCUCUAAUACAGUUUGCUAAUGACGGUACCGUAAGAAUAAGCACCGGCUAACUACGUGCCAGCAGCCGCGGUAAUACGUAGGGUGCGAGCGUUAAUCGGAAUUACUGGGCGUAAAGCGUGCGCAGGCGGUGAUGUAAGACAGAUGUGAAAUGCCCGGGCUCAACCUGGGACCUGCAUUUGUGACUGCAUCGCUAGAGUACGGUAGAGGGGGAUGGAAUUCCGCGUGUAGCAGUGAAAUGCGUAGAUAUGCGGAGGAACACCGAUGGCGAAGGCAAUCCCCUGGACCUGUACUGACGCUCAUGCACGAAGACGUGGGGAGGACAACAGGAUAGAUACCUACGGUAGUACCGACCGACCCUAACCGAUGUC
rnacentral:rRNA from 1 species